rnacentral:rRNA from 1 species
UACGUAGGUGGCAAGCGUUGUCCGGAUUUACUGGGCGUAAAGAGCGCGCAGGCGGUCGUGCAAGUCGCGUGUGAAAGCCCCGGCUCAACUGGGGAGGGUCACGCGAUACUGCUCGACUCGAAGGCAGGAGAGGGAAGUGGAAUUCCCGGUGUAGUGGUGAAAUGCGUAGAUAUUGGGAGGAACACCAGUGGCGAAGGCGACUUCCUGGCCUGUUCUUUGACGCUAGGCGCGAAAGCUAGGGUAGCAAAGGGG